GGAGGGGUGGCUGAGUGGAUGAAGGCACCAGUCUUGAAAACUGGCAUGGGGUUUACGCUCCAUCGAGGGUUCGAAUCCCUCCCCCUCCG
rnacentral:tRNA from 1 species